GAAGCGCCAAAUGUAAAAGUUGAGGAUUUAAGAUGUUCUACAUUAGUGAACACCUGGGAUUAAGUCAAUAGGACACAUUUUAUUGUUGACGCUAUAUGUUUCACUGUGCUAUCAGGAAGCGAGCCAAUUGUUGGGGACAUGGACCAAAGUGUGCUGCUGGAGGGCCUCCUGCCAUUCAUACAGCUCCUCUUCAGUGUCUGCUGUGAAGACCACAGUGUGAGUUCCCUCUGAUGAACAAUUGAUGAUGGACAGACUUAUGCUCUUCCUGCCCGCUGACUCCUUCUCCAUCAGUCGGAUUCGAGUGUCCUGCAGAAACCCAGGAAAAUUCACGCAAUCCUCAAGCUUUUCAAAUGCUGCUCCUUCUCCAUCUGACCAAUGUACGCUUUGAUCCUGGCGUUGCAGGUCAGCAGGUUCUUAGAGGCGUUGAGGAUCUGCUCUCUCUUGCUGGAAGCCAUCAGCAGCUUAUAGGCGCCGUCUCGCAUCCGCACCUCGAAGUCUAGCUUGUCUUGAAUUUUGGCGUUCUUGCAACAAGAAGGAUUACAAUGACUGAAGUCUCUCUUUCACUUAUGCAAAACUAUUCAAAUCUACAAUAACUUAUCCCUGUGUUAAUUUGCGUUGUUCAGUUUCAAAGAGUGCUUAAAGGCGUAUAAGAAGUAGUUGCAUGUCCAAAAUGCUUGUAUUUAUUUGUUUAGUUCCAUUUUAACACUGGAAAGUUUGCAACAGUUUGAAUGACAACAAAGGUAAGUCGAAGUCUUAUAAAUGCAUGUAUUGUAGUCUUACAAAUACAUGUUAAGUCAGAUAUGAAUUUUGCACUAUGACUGAAAUAAUGCAUAUACAAUUGGUUCUGGGGUUUCUAAAAGUUGUCAUUAUUGUCCAUACUAGUAACUCAUUGCACCUGCUGCUCAUUUUAAUCUGUCACAACCAAAUGUGAACAUCCCCUGGACAUUUACUUUUAUGAUUUGGUGUGCUUUUAAAGAAAAUUACUAGUGUGUGUAAUCAUGCAAAAUGACAACUUUGAAUGCACAUAGGUUUGAAUUCAAACAACUGAGUAACAAUGGGGUGUAUAGUAGCCCUAUUGAAUUACAGGCGUUAGUUCACCGUGUAGAAUGUAGAUUAGUUAUCAUAAAUCCAAAUUCGUGACAUUUAAUAGAAUUAAACAUAGACGUAACUAUUAUUUGUUGUAUCAAUGUCAUUAAGUGUUCAUUUGUUGUCCUGUUUAAUUGAACUUUGGACCGGGCGUCACGCCAAGCUGACGACGACACGACGGGAAACUAAAAACACCUAUCCUUACCUCUGUGUGCUGGAAUAAGGCACUCUGUCGUAUUUUCUUCCGUUUAAUCUCCAUGGCCACCGCUGAACUACCCGACAUUAAAAGGCUGGAGUUCGCGUUUCGUUUAGAAAUUUGAACGUCCCGCUGGUCCGCCAUGUUGUGUUUUCAUUCGUCGAAGCGCAUUCCUGCCACGACCACUUCAAAUGGAUAGGAGCGUUCGAUGUGUGUUACCUGCUUACCCGAAGUGUCAACAAGGUUCUAACCAAAGAGGCGUUCCAUUACAACUUAGAAAAAUAACUGCUGUGUUUCUUAUCGUUACUUGGCUAAAACACAUUCAGGUUUUCAGUUACCUAUUGCGAUAUUUUGUAGGUUCCACGAUAAAAUCACUGCAGUCAUCUCGACAAACAAAAUUUAACAAAAAAACAACUUAAAGCUCGACCUAAUAGUGUUUGGAAAAUAUUUCGAUCUUAGUUAAAAGUAUUAGUAUCUAAUGUUACCAACUGGGACUACUUCAACUUAGUGAUCAGUUCAUAACAUUGAGGACAAACAACACACUCCGCCCCUCUGCCGGUACGUACAAGUCACAUAACCAAGCGUCUUUGAAUUGGGAAUAGUUUUACGUCGUGACGUCAAAGUGCCAAAUAAAACAGGCGUAAGUGGAUUUUCCUUGUUUUGUAAUUUUUUUCUUAUUUGAGAUUUUUAAAAAUGACACAUUUGGACGUAACUAUACAUUGUCGUUUAUAAUAAUGUUUUUGGAACAAUUGCUAUCAUAAAUAUGUUUUUAAAUCAAAUGUAAUGAAUAAAAACCAAUGCAUGCUGUCGAAACAAUGUUUUGGCGUAUGAUUAGUUAUUGACAGAAAAUUAUGGAGUCAAAUUACUCUGCCAAAACUCCACACAAAAAACACUUUUCUACAAGUUAAAGAGUGAUUUGCAAGUUUAAAAACAAUUUUCCUUAAGUUCAAACUUUUGCAGGUGAAUUCCAGCGUUUAGGAAGUAUCCACUUGCCUUCAGAGCAGCCGUAAUUCACACUCUAGAACGACAGGUGGUGCUGCUGCGUCAAUUUAAGGCCCUCAGAGCGACUGUUAUUUGCACAUGGUGCGUCCGCCAAAAAUAACAAAGAGCUUGCGGUGGGGGAGUAAAAAUGGCGAACAGAAGCGAGGGGGAACAAUUUCAACCUG